rnacentral:lncRNA from 10 species
GACCAGGCUGGUUCCAAACUCCAGACCUCAGGUGAUCCGCACCCCUUUCAGCCUUCCGAAAUGCUGGGAUUACAGGCGUGAGCCAUGGCGCCCAGCCUAUCUCUUCCUCUUCUUAUAGGGACAUCAGUUCUAUCGGAUUAGGGCCCACCCUUAUGACCUCUGUUUAACCUUUAUUACAUACCUCAAGGCCCUAUCUCCAGA